GGCUAACGCCGUGACAGCGGCGUGGGGAAGACGGAGGGUGCAAGCGUUAUCCGGAUUUAUUGGGUUUAAAGGGUCCGUAGGCGGACUUAUAAGUCAGUGGUGAAAGCCUGUCGCUUAACGAUAGAACUGCCAUUGAUACUGUAAGUCUUGAGUAUAAUUGAGGUAGCUGGAAUAAGUAGUGUAGCGGUGAAAUGCAUAGAUAUUACUUAGAACACCAAUUGCGAAGGCAGGUUACCAAGUUAUAACUGACGCUGAGGGACGAAAGCGUGGGGAGCGAACAGGAUUAGAUACCCAGUAGUC
rnacentral:rRNA from 1 species